UACAAUUAUUGAUGAUUACUCUAGAAGGGUUUAGCCUUAUUUUUUGAAACAUAAAGAUGAUACUUUUGAUACUUUUAAGAACUGGAAAGUAAUGAUAGAAAGGCAAACUGAAAGGAAGGUAAAAUUGCUUCGUACUGAUAAUGGUGGAGAAUUUUGUUCGCAUGCCUUUAAUGAUUAUUGCAGACAGGAAGGUAUUGUUCGGCAUCACACCAUACCCCAUACUCCACAACAGAAUUGCGUGGCUGAACGUAUGAACAGAACCAUCAUAUCCAAGGCCCGUUGCAUGCUGUCUAAUGCCACGAUGAGCAAGCAGUUUUGGGCUGAAGCUGCAAAUACUGCCUGUUACUUGAUAAACAGGUCGCCUUCUAUUCCACUUAAUAAGAAAACUCCUAUUGAGGUAUGGUCUAGUACACCUGCAGAUUAUUCACAGUUGAAAGUUUUUGGAUGCACUGCUUAUGCUCAUGUUGAUAAUAGAAAAUUAGAGCCUAGAGCUGUUAAGUGUCUUUUUCUUGGUUAUAGCUCGGGAGUCAAGGGUUAUAAACUGUGGAAUCCUGAUACAGGAAAGACUUUUAUGAGCAGAAGUGUUGUUUUCAACAAAUCUGUGAUGUUUACUGACAGUUUGCCCUCAGAUCAUGUUCCAGAAACAGAGCUGCAGUGUAUGCGCAUGCAGGUGGAGCAUGUUGAUGAUGAUAUACACAUGCAGGUGGAGCAUGUUGAUGAUGAUACAGGUGUGCAGGUGGAGCCUAUUGAUGAGCAUGAUGACCAUGGUAAUGAUGUUGCUGAUGAUGAUGCUCAUGAUGAUGUUCAGCAAACUCCUCCUAUUUUGCAGCAAGAGGAGGAUUUACCUAUUGCUCAACGCAAGUAAAAAAGGACAGUUGUACCUCCCAAACAUCUCAUUGAAGAAUGUAAUUUGUCUUACUAUGCUUUGAGUUGUGAUGAACAGGUGGAGAAUGUUCAUGAGCCAGCAACCUACAAAGAGGCUGUUCGUUGUGGUGAUAGUGAGAAUUGGAUUUUUGCUAUGCAUGAGGAGAUGCAGUCUCUUGAGAAGAACAGUACAUGGGAGGUAGUACCUUUGCCUAAGAAAAAGAAGACCAUCAACUGCAAAUGGAUCUUCAAGAGAAAGGAGGGUUUAUCUCCAAGUGAGCCUCCAAAGUACAAGGCAAGGUUAGUAGCCAAAGGAUAUAGUCAAAUUCCGGGUGUUGACUAUAAUGAUGUAUUCUCUCUAGUGGUAAAACAUAGUUCAAUUCAUACUUUCCUAAGUAUUGUUGCUUCACAUGAUCUUGAGCUUGAGCAGUUAGAUGUGAAGACUGCGUUUUUGCAUGGAGAGCUUGAGGAGGACAUAUACAUGGACCAACCGGAAGGGUUCAUAGUGCCUGGCAAGGAGAAAUAUGUAUGCAAGUUGAAGCGAUCCUUGUAUGGUUUGAAACAGUCCCCUCGUCAGUGGAACAAGAGAUUUAUCAUAUGCUAUGAGUCUUGUUAGCAGAUAUAUGUCUAAUCCUGGUAAAGAACAUUGGAGGGCAGUUCAGUGGAUUUUCAGGUACCUCAGAGGCACAGCAGAUUCCAGUAUGAAGUUUGGAAGAACUGAUAAGGGUUUCAUUGGUUAUGUGGAUUCAGAUUAUGCUGCUGAUCUGGACAGGCGAAGAUCACUUACAGGUUAUGUGUUUACUGUUGGCAGUUGUGCUGUGAGUUGGAGGCCUACUUUACAGUCUGUUGUUGCUUUGUCUACUACUGAAGCAGAAUAUAUGGCUAUUUGUGAAGCGUGCAAAGAAUUAAUUUGGCUAAAAGGUUUGUACGCUGAACUGUGUGGAGUUGAAUCUUGCAUAAGUUUGAAUUGUGAUAGUCAAAGUGCAAUUUACCUCACUAAAGAUUAGAUGUUCCAUGAGAGAACUAAGCACAUAGAUAUCAACUAUCAUUUUGUGCAUGAUGUGAUUGAAGAAGGUAAGCUGAAGGUAUGCAAGAUCAGUACUCAUGACAAUCCUGCUGAUAUGAUGACUAAACCUGUCCCUGUUGCUAAGUUUGAGCUAUGCUCAAGCUUAGUUGGUUUAGUGGAUUAGCCUAAGAGGCUAUUUGGCGCCAGGAAUAUUUUUCUCUAUUAUGUUCAAGAUGAAGGUGUUGAUUUAUGAUACAAGAUGAAUUUGUCUCAAGGUGGAGUUUGUUGAAGUGUUCCAAAUUCAACGUGAUGCUUUCUCUAUGAAUAGCAUAUGUGCGUGAAGGAAUUGCAUGCACAUUGUAUGGCUAUGGUUGGCAAAAGAAAUGUGGUUGCAUGACAUUCGCAAGGUCAUGGUCUUCAAGAGAGAUGCGUGAUCUUCGUCACACUCCUUGCGCACAGCCAUGGAGUAAUAUUGUUGGAUGGCAUGCAUAGGCUAUGAAUAGUCAUUUGCUCAGAAUAGAGUUCCACCAAGAUGACAAUAUAUUUCAUUCUCUUGUAAGCCACCGUAUGGUGUUGUAAUUUGUAACCCGACACUUGAAAAUAGUGAGAAGAGUUGCUGGCUGGCGCCCGUGGUUUUUCCCCUUCGCAUUGGAGGGGUUUUCCACGUAAAUCGUGUGUCUCCACUGCGAUUGAUUUCGUUUACUUCAUAUUUCUAUACGCCGAUUCUAACAUAGUCUAUUUGCUAGGAUUUUUGUGAGGAAUUUCAUACUUGAGUUGAGUAGGGAUAUUGGUCUGAAAUCACUGACUUUAUCUAGAUUUGACUUUUUUGGCACUAAGGUAAUAUAGUAGUAGUUGAUACUCUUUAGGUCAGCUAUAUGCUCAUAAAAACCUGUACACAAUCUGUAGAUAUCAGGCCUUAUCAGAUUCCAACAUUUCUUGAAAAGAUAUCCAUUAAAUCCAUCAGGGCCAGGUGCCUUAUCUACUGGGAGGUCCUUUAGAACUACAUUUAUUUCUUGUUCAGUGAAAGGAGUAACCAGUUCCUCUAGAUUAUAUUGCUGCAUGAUCUGAUUCAAAGCAAGUCAUGUUUGGGAUUACUCACACACCCAUUCUAUUUUUGAAUUCCUGCCAAAAGAGUGCUGCCUUUUCAUAUGAUCUGUCACAAUUCUACCAUCAUCUGCAGAGAUUUGAGAGAUGACAUUAAAUCUGAAUCUUUCGGUUGCCCUGGCGUGAAUUUUUUUUUGUGUUUUCAUCCCCUAGCUUAACAAGAUUUUUUGUAUAUCUCUGCUUCCAAUAAAUUUGCUGGUAAUGAAGUAAUUUCCUUAGUUGUCCCUGAAUAAUAGUUCUGAAGUUUCUUUCAGCAAUACAUAGGUGUCUGAGGUCUUCCACACCAUCCAUGAAUUCUAUGACCAAAUUGCAGUGUUUUAUCAGAAUGGCUAGGCCUGACCUGUUGUUUUUCCAAGUCUUUAGGGAAGCUCUCAAAGCUUUAAACUUAGUAGAUACAUUUCUGGCUGCAUUCGUAUGUGAACAUGAUGCCCAAGCAAUAGUAGCUAUCUCUAUAAAAGAUGGUAUAUUUGUCCAAUAGUUUUCAUGUUAUCGUCGGUCAGCAGUACCACCGAAGCAACCGGACGAGUGGCUAGCAACGCCACAUCGGGAUCAGGUCGACAUGCGCGCCAUUCCUUUUCAGGAUCAACUAUUUUGAGUCAGUGGAAUAAUGAGUGGAGUUUAUAUCUCUAAGACCAGCUGCAUGUUCUAGAGUAAUUUGUGGAGUCUAUAUUCCUAAGAUUAGCUGCAUGUUCGUAGAGUAAUUUGUGGAGUCUGUAUUCCUAAAAUUAGCUGCAUACUUGUAAUUUGCCUGUAAGCCAGAACGUUUGCGUAUUGAGAAGGCAGCCUGGGUUUGUGUC